GACGAACGCUGGCGGCGUGCUUAACACAUGCAAGUCGAACGGAAAGGCCCUGCUUUUGUGGGGUGCUCGAGUGGCGAACGGGUGAGUAACACGUGAGUAACCUGCCCUUGACUUUGGGAUAACUUCAGGAAACUGGGGCUAAUACCGGAUAGGAGCUCCUGCUGCAUGGUGGGGGUUGGAAAGUUUCGGCGGUUGGGGAUGGACUCGCGGCUUAUCAGCUUGUUGGUGGGGUAGUGGCUUACCAAGGCUUUGACGGGUAGCCGGCCUGAGAGGGUGACCGGCCACAUUGGGACUGAGAUACGGCCCAGACUCCUACGGGAGGCAGCAGUGGGGAAUAUUGCACAAUGGGCGGAAGCCUGAUGCAGCAACGCCGCGUGCGGGAUGACGGCCUUCGGGUUGUAAACCUCUUUCGCCGGUGACGAAGCGUGAGUGACGGUAAUGAGUAAAGAAGCACCGGCUAACUACGUG
rnacentral:rRNA from 1 species